UACGUAGGGGGCGAGCGUUGUCCGGAAUCAUUGGGCGUAAAGCGCGUGUAGGCGGCCCGGUAAGUCCGCUGUGAAAGUCCAGGGCUCAACCCUGGGAUGCCGGUGGAUACUGUCGGGCUCGAGUCCGGAAGAGGCGAGUGGAAUUCCUGGUGUAGUGGUGAAAUACGUAGAUAUCAGGAGGAACACCGGUGGCGAAGGCGGCUAUCUGGCCCAAUAUUGACGCUGAGAUGCGAAAGCGUGGGGAUCAAACAGG
rnacentral:rRNA from 1 species